UAUUCUAUAUAAAGUGUGCCUAUAUAACAGAAUUGUUGGUUUUUUGAGAAAUUUAUGGGUCACUUACUUUUUAUUUAUAUUAAAAUUUGUUGGUUUAACUAUUUUUUUUUACUUUCCUCUUUUUAGACGGAAGGCUAACCAUUCCGUUAACCAUUCUUCUCUUUCACGCUAUUUUCAAUUGGUCCCAAUUAGAAUUUUACUCUCAAUUCCAAUCGAGUUAAACUCAGAAUUUGGCGAUCGAUUAAACUCAGAAUUUUACCUUUUUCUUCUAUUUUUAUGCAUCUUUUUCUCACUACUGGCACUAUCAACCCACUAUUUUAUCGUCCUGCUCCAUAGGCGGCAACUUUAUUGAUUUCGGCACCAAUAACUUUCUUGGAAGGGUUUCGCGAGUCGAUCACCUUGCCUAUGGCUGAGAUUUCGACAACCGGCGCCCACCGACCGGUUGUUAAAUGGAAGAAUCCCAGUUGAUUAUUUGGAAGGAUGGUUCUCUGAAGCUUCUAUAAACAGGCAGGAUAAUAUAUAUCAUAUAUAAUUGUAUAUGAAGAAUUUAGAUAAAUGGGUUUUAUUUAAAAUUCCAUUAGGUAGAUAAUGAGGUUUUGAGAGCUUCCAUCUUGGGCAAUGGCACCUUUAGAUUUCACUCAUAAUGCGAUUCUUAACUAUCUUAAGCACAUAAGAAGAAACUGGCUUGCCUCUGCCUCCAAAAGUUAAAGAGAUGAUAAAACGAAGAAUAUGCAAAGAAUGAGGACCUUCAAAAGAUUAAACUGACAUCAUCACUGCUAUUUUUGGGACACUGUAAGUUUGAAAUAACCCACUUGAAUUUGGUCAUGAUUUUGAUUACUGCCUUUUUGGAAUCCCAUAUCUGAUACAAAUUUCAAUUGACUUUCUUAGUGAUUAUUAUUUGGCUCUUGAGUAAAUUUUUAGUGGCAAGUGGUCCGAGAAGGCAAGUGUUUAUAGUUUUAGAAUUCUUGUCUUUUAAGUAGUAUGUGGAAGAAAGAACAAUUCUUCCAAUAAAAGUCCAAACCCCUGUUGUGCAGAUGGUAAGCUCUUUGUUUCAAACAUAGGUUAAAGACGGUCAUAAAUAAUGUGAUAAAGACCAUUAUGUAAAGGUUUGGAGCCAUUAUGGAAGCAGUACACUUGGUGAAUUAGUUGAUCCAAGCCUAGGAGGUAAUUUUCAAGCCGAGGAGCAUCUUGGUUGCUCCAAAUUGGGCUAAUUAGUGUACAAGCCUCUGUUGAGCUACGACCAUGCAUUUAU